CUGGCUGUCGCCGAAUGUCCUGAAAUUGGAAAGUUACAGAGAACAUUAGCUUGGCCUCUGUGUGAGCUGGAUAUGGAGAUUCGUGAAGUGUUCUGUGUUUAA